rnacentral:rRNA from 1 species
GACGAACGCUGGCGGCGUGCUUAACACAUGCAAGUCGAACGGUGAAGCUCCAGCUUGCUGGAGUGGAUCAGUGCCGAACGGGUGAGUAACACGUGAGCAACCUGCCCCAGACUCAGGAAUAAACGCUGGAAACGGCGUCUAAUACUCGAUACGAGAUCAAGCCGCAUGUGUAUGGACUGGAAAAGUUUUCGGUUUGGGAUGGGCUCGCGGCCUCUGAGCUUGUUUGUCAAGUAAUGGCUCACGAAGCCGACGACGGGUAGCCGGCCUGAGAGCGCGACCGGGCACACUGGGACUGAGACACGGCCCAGUCGCGUAUGGGAGGCAGUGGUCGGGAAUAUUGCACAGUGGGCGAAAGCCUGAUGCAGCGACGCCGCGUGAGGGAUGACGUCUUUCGGGUUGUGAACCUCUUUCAGCGGGGAAGAAGCGAAAGUGACGGUACCUGCAGAAGAAGCACCGGCUAACUACGUG